UACGUAGGGUGCGAGCGUUAAUCGGAAUUAUUGGGCGUAAAGCGCGUGUAGGCGGCAUGGCAAGUCGGGUGUGAAAGCCCUCAGCUCAACUGAGGAAGUGCGCCCGAAACUGCUUUGCUUGAGUGCUGGAGAGGGUCGCGGAAUUCCCCAAGUAGAGGUGAAAUUCGUAGAUAUGGGGAGGAACACCGGUGGCGAGGCGGCGACCUGGACAGUAACUGACGCUGAGACGCGAAAGCGUGGGUAGCAAACAGG
rnacentral:rRNA from 1 species